AGGAAGUGAUGAUGGGCUGUACAACUUCAAGCCCAUCCCCAGGAGCGUCCCACUUUCUCUGGUGAGCUCCACCUCCCAAGGGUUCCAUAACCUCCAAAAAAAAGUGUCUGCAGCUGGAGAGCAAGUGCUGCAACACGCAAUGCUGCAAGGAUGAGGAUGAGGACGAGGACGCUUCACCUUCAACCUUCUCUCUACAGCACCCAGGGCUUCCUGGAGGAGGGACUGUCUCCUGUGGUGGGUCGUGUUUUCUUAAAGGAAUAGCAUGCAUUAUUUCCAUGCCAUGGACUCUCUUUAAGACUUGCCACACCCACUCCUGGUGAUGAAGUCUGUGUGCCUUCCCUUGAACAUGAGCAGGUCCUGGUGGUAACUGUGCUCAGUAAAAUGAGAAAUAAAGAAGGCUGUAGGACUUUCAAGUUAGGUGAAGAAAAAAAACUAUAGACUCUCUUGAUUUCUGUCUUCCUAGAUGGCUGUUCUAGGAACAUAGUUGCCAUGUUGGGAGGAAAUCUAAAAACAGAGAGAUUGUGCAGGUGUCCCAGUUCACAGGCCCAGCUUGUGGCAAAAUUGACCCCUUCGAAUGCGUAGUUGAGAAAACAUUCAAGAAGACUCCAGGCCCAGAGUCUGACUACAAUGAGACCCUGAAGAAAAACCACCCAGCUGAGCCCAGCCAAGCCUAGAAUCAUGGGGCACGGUCAAAGACAUUGUCACUAUUUGAAGUCACCACGUUUGGGGCAUUCGUUAUACAUCACGGUAUGAGUCUUAGUUUAUAAUGAAGGUUAACCAGGUAGUAGAUAAAUCAAGUUCUAGAUAACAAGGAUGCUACAUACAAAGAAAACUUGCAUGAAAUAGAUCCCUCUGACAUAGAUUGAAGGAAGUUGCAAGGUCUGCAAGAUUAAACAAUACAGAGGCAGGUUCCAUGCUAAAUCAGGGAGUUAUGGAGGGUUUCAAGCAAGGGAAAGACCUCCAGGACUUAGUAAGAAGCCGCAAUAUGGACAAUGGGAUGAAGGAAGUAGAGACUAUUUAUGACCAUCUAUACCAGUGCCAACGUCUUGGGCAAUGAGCAGAUCGGAGGUUAUUCCAUGAGCCUACUCAGGAGAAGGCAGUGCUGGGGUAGUGGGAUUAUGAGUCCUGUGGUAUUUCAAACACACGGUCAGUUCUGUGGCUGGAUGAAUACACGAGGUAAAGAGAAGAGGGGAAGUCUCUUGGGCUUCUGAAUUGCAAGGCGUUGUAGUUUCAUUUGCAUUGCUGUGGUAAAACACCCCCAAAAAGUAGCUUUAAGGAAGGGUGUGUUUAGUUUACAAUUCCAGGUCACAGACCAUCACUGCAGGACCUCAAAGCAGGAACUUGAAAUAACUGGUCACAUUCAUGGUUAAGAGCAGAGAGAGAAGGAAUGCAUAUGUGCCUGUAUGUGCUCAGCUCUCUCUCCCUGGAUGCAGUCUGAGAUGCCCUGCCUAAGGGAUGGAGCCAUCCACAGUGGACUGGACCUUCCCACAUCAGUGAACACAACCAAGACAACUCCGCCACAGACAUGUGCACCAGUCAAUCUGAUUUUGGCAGCCACUCCAUUGAGACUCUCUUCCUAGGUACUGAGGAUUCCGGACUCAGGUCCUCAUGCUGUGCUGCAAGAAUUUACCCACUGAGCCAUCAUCUCAGCCCUCCCCUGGAGAGAACAUCAAAAGUAUCAAUUCCAUUGUAUCCAAUCCCAACCAAAGCCCACUCUCUGGGGAGCAGAGUGUGGCUCAGGCACCUACAGUCUGAAACCUUCCCUAGGCAAUCCACAGCAGGGGCUGCUGCUGGCACUCACCCAACGCUGGUGAUAACUCACUCGACCACAACAAUUUAAACAUGCGUCUCUCCGCUGCUUAAGUCA
rnacentral:lncRNA from 1 species